UCCAUCUCUUUUAGAUACCAAAGUUGGUCCGGCAUAUAGUAGACAUAUCUCAAACAUAAAUUAAAUGUCUAAUAAGUAACAAACUCAAAUGAACUGUCUAAACACAAUAGGGCGACAUGAGCAAAGAGAGUGUCUCCACUUUUUUUAGAUGUGUAAAUUGGUCUGAUAUAUAAUAGACAUACGUUUUAAAUGUCUAAUAGGUAGCAAACUC
rnacentral:lncRNA from 1 species